CCUACGGGGGGCAGCAGUGGGGAAUAUUGCGCAAUGGGCGAAAGCCUGACGCAGCGACGCCGCGUGAGGGAUGAAGGUCUUCGGAUCGUAAACCUCUGUCAGCAGGGAAGAACGGUCACUUUGCUAAUCAGCAGUGAAUUGACGGUACCUGCAAAGGAAGCACCGGCUAACUCCGUGCCAGCAGCCGCGGUAAUACGGAGGGUGCGAGCGUUAAUCGGAAUUACUGGGCGUAAAGCGCUCGUAGGCGGUAUGUCAAGUCAAGGGUGAAAUCCCCGCGCUCAGCGUGGGAACUGCCUUUGAAACUGGCAAACUGGAGUGUGUGAGAGGAUAGUGGAAUUCCAGGUGUAGGAGUGAAAUCCGUAGAUAUCUGGAGGAACAUCAGUGGCGAAGGCGACUAUCUGGAACAUAACUGACGCUGAGGAGCGAAAGCGUGGGUAGCAAACAGGAUUAGAUACCCUUGUAGUC
rnacentral:rRNA from 1 species